rnacentral:tRNA from 1 species
GCCAGCGGAGCACGACGGCCGUGCGCCGUCCUCGUAAGACGGAGAUAGCGGGUUCAACUCCCGUCGCUGGCUCCA